UACGAAGGGUGCAAGCGUUACUCGGAAUUACUGGGCGUAAAGCGUGCGUAGGUGGUGAGUUAAGUCUGUCGUGAAAGCCCCGGGCUCAACCUGGGAACUGCAAUGGAAACUGGCGGGCUUGAGUGUGGCAGAGGGGGGUGGAAUUCCGCGUGUAGCAGUGAAAUGCGUAGAGAUGCGGAGGAACACCGAUGGCGAAGGCAGCCCCCUGGGCCAACACUGACGCUCAGGCACGAGAGCGUGGGGAGCAAACAGG
rnacentral:rRNA from 1 species